rnacentral:miRNA from 1 species
AAUCAAGACCUAAAGAAAAU